UACAGGGGGUGCAAACGUUGCUCGGAAUCAUUGGGCGUAAAGCGCACGUAGGCGGUUCGUUAUGUCGGAUGUGAAAGCCCUUGGCUUAACCGAGGAAGUGCAUCCGAAACUGGCGAGCUAGAGUACGAAAGAGGAUCGCGGAAUUCCCGGUGUAGCGGUGAAAUGCGCAGAUAUCAGGAGGAACACCGGUGGCGAAGGCGGGUCUCUGGGCCGUAACUGACGCUGAGGAGCGAAAGCAUGGGGAGCGAACAGG
rnacentral:rRNA from 1 species